ACCCCACCCCCAAGAUCGUCCAGAACGCUUCCCGCAGCCCCGCUGCGUACCGCCAGCGCACGGGGCUGGAGCAGGGGUUUAUCUGUCUGCCCGCUGCGCGCCACCGGACCCCGCCGGGCUAGAACGCACGCGCGCCGUGGGGCGCACGGGGCUCACACCGCCGCGGGCAUCGGCCGGUCACGUGGCCUCGGAGGGGCCGAGAUCCGCGUCCCGACGGUUCGAAGACGCCAUCAAAGAAACCGGCGGCGAGGAGCGCAUCCCGCAGGGGAAGGCCCGCGGCCUGCGUGGGCCGCGACGGGGACCGGUGCGCUGGCAGGCACUUCAUGCCGGGACAGCUAAAGCCAAGUUUACAGCAGAGCCUGGCACAGUACCCGAACCACAAGGAGAUAGCAGCUACUGUGAUUGGACACGUUCAAGAUGGGAACACAAAGACUGCAUUAUGUAGGCACUCGCAUGGUCUCCCGGCAGCAGCUCAUGUGCUGACAUUUGAUUUUAUACUGGUGACAACAAGAUCAAGAAAGAGCUCAGAGUUUGCAAAUUUACAACAGAGAGGCUGUCUCAGAAGCAGGCAUCCCCCAUCAUACAGUGUGUGCUUAACUAAGCUUGUGGAAGAUGGGAUGUGUCUGGUUGUAAUUCCACUAAUCAGCAUGAUCAAGGCCUAUGUCAUUCUGGUCCAGUGAUACCAUGCUCCAGGGAAGGCUUCGACGUGACUCAUCACAGCACUUGGCACGGAGUAACUCAACUAACAUCUGUUGGAGGGAUGAAUAAUUUAGGGGAUCCCGAGAAGGCCACUCGGAGGCUUGGCAGCCAGGUUAGCGACUGAGAUUGUCUAGGAGAAAAACUGGUGUGCUCACGACCCAUGGGUAUAGAUACCAUCUCUACAGUGACUAUAAAAAUGGCACGCUCACUCAGGCGUUCUCCAUUGUGACAUCUGUCCUGUGUUGAUCCCAGCAACCCAGGUGUCCCGACAUCAGGCCACCGAUCUCCUGCAUUGUGUCCUCCCACCUUGUCCAUAGAAGGCCGUGUAGAUGGAGGUAAUAAUUUUGGAGCUUUAAUUGAUGCCUCUUUAGUCUCAGUCUCAGAGAUACUCGAUGAAAUGGCCACGUGGAUGACAUGACGGUGUGAGCGGAGCUGAGACACAGGUCAGCAUUCUUACCCCAGGCAGGUGAGGCUUUGUGGAUGAGCACCAAAAUGCUAUGCGGUUACCUCGGGCUGCUGGUGCUAAGAUUUAUGAUCUUCAGUGAUGUCACACAGCAUUCUAACAGCACUGCUCUGCUCAUCUUGAGACCUCGAAGCAGGAAGCAGACAGCUGGCGGGCAUCAGAUCCUAUUUCAGCUUCCAUCCACUCAAAGCCUUUAGGAAUUGGGUUCACAGCCCGUAAAACCAAGAUCUCUUCUAUGUAAAGCUGAAGGAAGCAUGGAAGUAGACUCUUUACUCUCAGUGACUCAUGGGACACUGGCCAUUUGAGAUCCAGAGGGCUCUAAGGUGACAUCAGGGACCUUUCACACUGGUGCCAGUCUUUAAAUUUACCACCGUUAUCAAGAUAUUAUCUAGUUAGUUCCUGCUCACACAAGCCUCUGACUGACCCAUGCUGAUGACACCUGUUGGUAUCAGGGUAUCAGCACUGCAGAUCAGCUCUGGACCUAGUGACAUCACAUAUCGCUGACAGGAACCCGCACAUCUAUUGCCAAGGCAACCGCCACACAUUCCCAGAAUCCACUUGGCUCACCUCCCACAUUUACCUGCAGGCGGCUAAUGUCACUAUACAAAUAAACAGGCAGAUCCCUCUGACCCCUCUCUCUACCCCCGCACCCUGCUCCUCCUUCUCCACCACCUUUGCCCUUUUCUCCUAUAAUAAACCUCUGACACAUGGAA
rnacentral:lncRNA from 1 species